CCUACGGGAGGCAGCAGUGGGGAAUAUUGGGCAAUGGGCGCAAGCCUGACCCAGCGACGCCGCGUGAGGGAAGACGGUCUUCGGAUUGUAAACCUCUUUUGUCGGGGAGCAAAAGACGCCACGCGUGGCGUUCCGAGAGUACCCGAAGAAAAAGCAUCGGCUAACUCCGUGCCAGCAGCCGCGGUAAUACGGAGGAUGCGAGCGUUAUCCGGAUUUAUUGGGUUUAAAGGGUGCGUAGGCGGAUUUUUAAGUCAGCGGUAAAAUGUCCGGGCUCAACCCGGGCCGGCCGUUGAAACUGGUUUUCUUGAGUGAGCGAGAAGUAUGCGGAAUGCGUGGUGUAGCGGUGAAAUGCAUAGAUAUCACGCAGAACUCCGAUUGCGAAGGCAGCAUACCGGCGCUCAACUGAAGCUCAUGCACGAAAGUGUGGGUAUCGAACAGGAUUAGAUACCCCAGUAGUC
rnacentral:rRNA from 1 species